rnacentral:lncRNA from 10 species
GAGAUUUAGCACACUCUCAGUUAUUUAAACAUGCAACAUUUCUUGAGUAUGUAUGUUGAGGCCAUCUGCACUCAUAGCUGAUUCAGUAACCAGUUUCAUGCUGUGUCAUUCACACUCAGUACUUAAUACUGCCAUAGUGAAAAUGUGGAGGAAAAAUGUAUACAUGUGUGUCUGGGAAGCAUAUACACUUGUACAUUUUUUAAUACUCUGAUUCUGUAACAUUUCUGAGUUUUGUUUUGUUUUACAGAAGAAAAAAUGUGAUAAAGCGAUCAGAAGACCAAGAGCUUUACUAUCGAUGCUUAGGGUCGUCUGACCUUGGCUGGCCAAUAGACCUACAUGGCCAAAUUAACACGAGAGUAAUAAUUUUUCAAAAGCCAAUUUUUUUCUGUAUUUCUGUAUGAAGAUGCAAAUAUCAUGAAUAGAAAGGGAGAACCAUAAAGGAGAAAGAACGUGAUGUUCCGUUAUAUUUGUGUGAACCUAAACAAACAAUGUGGAGGCAGGUGCAAUCAGCCAAACUCUAGGGACUUGAUGGUGUUGCUUGGAAGGCAUCCAUACCUGCAUUUUGCAUUCUUCGUAUGUAAUCAUAUUGCCAAAGACAAAGUAUUCCAUCAUUUAUUGUAAACAACACUUUUCCCCAGACCUACCAUAAAGUUUCUGUGAUGUAUUGUCUUCCAGUUGCAAUAAAAAUUA